UCGGUGGGGUGCUGCGGAGCGAGAGACAGUUGGGAAGUCUAACCGGGGUAGACUGGGCCUCCUGUAACUGGCGCGUAGGGAGAGAUGGUCUCUCUAAAGAACAUCUGGGAAGCUUGCCCAGCAAGCUGCUGGUAGAGCCCAUUCCAGCCAUUAUGAUCCGGAGGCCUGGGAGGCUGGGUACGUGUGGAGAAGCAGAAGCCAGAGCAGCCAGGCGCGCACUAAGUCGAUACAACCCUCAGAGUUGAACGGCAGGCACCGUCUGCGUGUUACGGCUCAGGAGACAGCAGUAGGUGACUGAGGACUCACAGCAGAGCCUUGACAGAACCUGGGCUGAGGUGGAAGGGUAGGACUGAGACGGGGUCUCUCACUGAUUCUGGAGCUGACCAGCAAAUCUCAGGGAUCGUCCUGCCUCCGCCUCCCCAGAGCUAGGACUGCAGACAUGUGGCACUGUGCUUGGCCUUUAUAUGGAUGUUGAGGAGCCAUACUGAAGCCUCCAUGACCCCAUGGCAAGCGCCUUCCCAACUGUGCCAUCUCUUCAGCCCAGUGGAUGACUCCUUUCAGACCGAUCCGUAUCUGUAAUGGAUUUCUUUGGAAACUGAGCCAAACUUCUGAAAUGGAAGUCUUGUGUGUGGCCAGGAUCAAGUUCGUAACGUUGCCCGACUUUGAGGAAGUCAUGGGAGGAAUUCCGGUACUGGAGAACUCUACAAAGGACUGACCGAUACACCGCAAAAUUUUCAAGGUUGCCAAAGACAAGAUUCAAGAGCUGCUUAGGACACAAGGCCUCAACGCAACGCCUUCCCUGGGGUCUGAGCUGCCACUCUGCAGGGCCUCAUUCUCUGAGUUUCUAGGGUCCCUGAAGGCCACGCCUCUUUGAGUCUGCAGGGCCUCAUUCUCCACUCUUCUAGAGCCCCGAAGGCCACACCCCUUUGGAUCUGCAGACCAGGGCUGGCCCUGCUCUUGUUGCACUAAUUUUCUCUUUUAAGAAAUAUCUUUGUUUGUUUAUGUGUAUUGUGAACUGAUGCACAAUUAAUAAAAAC